GGCCCUAUCGUCUAGCGGUUAGGACACCAGGUUUUCAUCNNGGGUUCGACUCCCCGUAGGGUCACCA
rnacentral:tRNA from 1 species